rnacentral:rRNA from 1 species
UACGAAGGGGGCUAGCGUUGCUCGGAAUCACUGGGCGUAAAGGGUGCGUAGGCGGGUCUUUAAGUCAGGGGUGAAAUCCUGGAGCUCAACUCCAGAACUGCCUUUGAUACUGAAGAUCUUGAGUUCGGGAGAGGUGAGUGGAACUGCGAGUGUAGAGGUGAAAUUCGUAGAUAUUCGGAAGAACACCAGUGGCGAAGGCGGCCCACUGGACUGGUAUUGACGCUGAGGUGCGAAAGCGUGGGGAGCAAACAGG